AUUCCAGCUCCAAUAGCGUAUAUUAACGUUGUUGCAGUUAAAAAGCUCGUAGUUGGAUUUGUGGUGGUUGUUGGGUCCCUCUUUGUUGAGGGUAUCUGUACGAUUGACCAUCCUUGGGUGGAAUCUGUGUGGCAUUAGGUUGUCGCGCAGGGGAUGCCCAUCGUUUACUGUGAAAAAAUUAGAGUGUUCAAAGCAGGCUUAUGCCGUUGAAUAUAUUAGCAUGGAAUAAUGAGAUAGGACCUUGGUACUAUUUUGUUGGUUUGCGCACCGAGGUAAUGAUUAAUAGGGACAGUUGGGGGUAUUCGUAUUCCAUUGUCAGAGGUGAAAUUCUUGGAUUUUUGGAAGACGAACUACUGCGAAAGCAUUUACCAAGGAUGUUUUC
rnacentral:rRNA from 1 species